CCCGCCGUCCAGUCAGUCGGUGGAUCGUUCAGAAUUCAGAUUCAACAAAAUUUGCAAAGAUUUGUCAUUGCUCCAAACUUGCCAUUAGGACUAAGAAGAGAUUAUGUUGGAGGUGGCGUUAAGGGACCAAGGCAAGACUGCUGAAAAAAAGGGAACAUUUUAUGAAGACAACCCCCAAUAAGGAAAGCAAACCCCAUCAAUAGCAGCAAGCCAGACAUCAUGGAGAUGGAGUCACCCUGAUCAAGACCAGCCAGCAGUUCAUGACCUUCAAUAAAGACACGCGGGCUCCUCUCUGGUCAUUUACUACCAGCCAGGGUCUGAUGAGAGGAAGUGGGCGUAUAUUUGAAAUUUACCUGAAGCCAUCAACCUCUCCUUCUUGCUCAAAAAAUCUAACCUUGCCGGCGAGAGGAUCCUCGAGAGCAACAUCUCGCAGCAUCAAGCAGCAGCAGCCACCAGCUGGAUGGAGGGAGUUUGUGUUGAUCGGCAAUAAAAAAAGUCGCCCCUCGGUACCUCGGAGGCCCGUGGGCCGUAUCUCGCCGAAUUUGAGCCGCCGCCGGAUCUCGCCAACCUGCCGAGGACCAGGACUAUCGCCGUGCCCACGCCCACAAGGCAUGACACGCUUUUACUGAUGUGAGUCACGAGAUGACCCCGCGGCCGAGAAGCACUGCAACUUAAAAGGCACCGAGGUGCGUGCACAAUGGAGCAAGAUACGGUCGGCCGGGUGGAAGAAAAGAAUGCGGCGGCGGCGGCCAACGCAGGCAACGGGUACACAAAACAUCAAUCUAGGGCUGGAAAAGACCUCCGAAAGCUGCGAGAGUUAUUGAUCUUGGAAAUAUUAUUACAGCACAUGAUAAAUGGCGGUGUGUGCUC